rnacentral:rRNA from 1 species
AUGGGAACGCGAAGAACCUUACCUAGACUUGACAUCUCCUGAAUAGUGUAGAGAUACAUGAAGCCCUUCGGGGCAGGAAGACAGGUGGUGCAUGGCUGUCGUCAGCUCGUGUUGUGAAAUGUUGGGUUAAGUCCUGCAACGAGCGCAACCCUUAUCCUUUGUUGCCAGCGGUUAGGCCGGGAACUCAAAGGAGACUGCCAGUGAUAAACUGGAGGAAGGUGGGGAUGACGUCAAGUCAUCAUGGCCCUUACGAGUAGGGCUACACACGUGCUACAAUGGCGCAUACAAAGAGAAGCGACCUCGCGAGAGCAAGCGGACCUCAUAAAGUGCGUCGUAGUCCGGAUUGGAGUCUGCAACUCGACUCCAUGAAGUCGGAAUCGCUAGUAAUCGUAGAUCAGAAUGCUACGGUGAAUACGUUCCCGGGUCUUGUACACACCG